GCGGACAGAUGGGAGCUUGCUCCCUGAUGUUAGCGGCGGACGGGUGAGUAACUCGUGGGUAACCUGCCUGUAAGACUGGGAUAACUCCGGGAAACCGGGGCUAAUACCGGAUGGUUGUUUGAACCGCAUGGUUCAGACAUAAAAGGUGGCUUCGGCUACCACUUACAGAUGGACCCGCGGCGCAUUAGCUAGUUGGUGAGGUAACGGCUCACCAAGGCGACGAUGCGUAGCCGACCUGAGAGGGUGAUCGGCCACACUGGGACUGAAACACGGCCCAGACUCCUACGGGAGGCAGCAGUAGGGAAUCUUCCGCAAUGGACGAAAGUCUGACGGAGCAACGCCGCGUGAGUGAUGAAGGUUUUCGGAUCGUAAAGCUCUGUUGUUAGGGAAGAACAAGUGCCGUUCAAAUAGGGCGGCACCUUGACGGUACCUAACCAGAAAGCCACGGCUAACUACGUGCCAGCAGCCGCGGUAAUACGUAGGUGGCAAGCGUUGUCCGGAAUUAUUGGGCGUAAAGGGCUCGCAGGCGGUUUCUUAAGUCUGAUGUGAAAGCCGGCGGCUCAACCGGGGAGGGUCAUUGGAAACUGGGGAACUUGAGUGCAGAAGAGGAGAGUGGAAUUCCACGUGUAGCGGUGAAAUGCGUAGAGAUGUGGAGGAACACCAGUGGCGAAGGCGACUCUCUGGUCUGUAACUGACGCUGAGGAGCGAAAGCGUGGGGAGCGAACAGGAUUAGAUACCCUGGUAGUCCACGCCGUAAACGAUGAGUGCUAAGUGUUAGGGGGUUUCCGCCCCUUAGUGCUGCAGCUAACGCAUUAAGCACUCCGCCUGGGGAGUACGGUCGCAAGACUGAAACUCAAAGGAAUUGACGGGGGCCCGCACAAGCGGUGGAGCAUGUGGUUUAAAACGAAGCAACGCGAAGAACCUUACCAGGUCUUGACAUCCUCUGACAAUCCUAGAAGAUAGGACGUCCCCU
rnacentral:rRNA from 1 species